rnacentral:snoRNA from 1 species
CUGCGAAUAUUCUCGCUGUCCUGGUGUUCCAGUGAUCAGGGCAGGCUAGACAUUCGCUAUAUUAUCACUAUGCAGUGUGUCCCCAGAACUAGUGUGUAUUUCUAGUUGUGGUUUUUGACUGCAAGUAACAGUU